GUAAUAAGUUCAUCAAUUGAUCAUACUGUUGUCUGCUCAAUCCUGGUAUCACAGAACUCUGGCCAUUUAUUUUUGGAAUAGAUUGAUGGCAUUCAGGAGGAUUCCCAUGGGAACAGACAUAUGUCCUUCAGAAUGAGGGAAAUCCAGAUCAGCAGAAAGAUGAGCAGCAGCAGGUCUCCUCCCCUUGUUAAAAUUUAUACUUUGUGGAUACCCAUGGAUCUUGAAACACUUAUCAAUUAAGUGUCCAGAUUUUUACAGUAU
rnacentral:lncRNA from 1 species